CAAGAACACCCCAUGGACUUUCUCCCUGGGGUCACAUAGAAUAGAUCAUGACUAAACAACUGAACAACAAAUGGUAUGCAAGGCACAUAGUAGUGCUAGGUCCUGGGGAUACAAAUAGAAAAGUGGAGGCAGUACUUGUUCACAAGGAACUGACAUUCUAAUGAAGGAAACAACAUGUAGCAGUUUCAGCAGCAAAUCAUGAAGAGGCUCCUUGGUCCUUAGGGUGCUGUUGCAAAGCAGAUGCCAGCCCUUCAGGAUGAAGACCUUCUGUCUUCUCUUUGCUGUGUUCUUUGUGGCUGUUCAGACCCUAACCCAUGAUGAAGCAGAACAAGCGGAUGAUUUCCCCAUUCUGGAUGGAAAAAUGGAGAAGGCUAACUUCCGGUGGCCUUUAAGACCUGGGAAAAGAAAUGAGACAGAUCAACUCAAGGCAGAGGUAGAAGCUCAUUGUCAACAAAAAAAAUGGUAUCUGCUGAAAGCAGUUCUGCGGAAGAAAUGAAAAAUUGGUGGAUUUCUGUGGCUUCUCGACAUCUUGCUGCAGUCAGAAAAACAGUAUAGCUGAAUACUUUUAGGGAGGAUGUUUCAUGAAGAAAUCGAUCUCUUGGCCUGUAAUUGGCCUUUUUUCAAUAAAGAAUGUGGAUUUAUCUCUGUAA